AUAAAACGCCGCUCGUGCAUAACGAAGGGGGAGCCACAUGUCCAUGGAUUGAAAACGAGGCAAAGCGAGAAAAACACCAAAGGUUUGAAGAAACUCAUGGAUCACAGGAGAUGUAAAGUAAAGGCUUUUACCGAGAAGACGUGGAAAGAUUUGUUGGAUGCUCUUGACAUCAAAUGCAAGAAGUUUGAAGAGGUUUACCAAACAAGAGAGAAUGAUGAUGAUAGAAGUAGAAAAGAAGAAGAUCUUCAUAUCAAAGACGACCUGAAGCACAUCGACGAAGAAGAGGACUAGAAAAUUCAAAUUGGGACACCAACAAUUCCCGGCGAAGGACUGCAAAUUUAGACAUACUCGGAACUGUGACACAUGACCUCGGUUUAAACUUGUGGAUUUACUUUAACCUCCACGACCAUAAAAUAAACGGCCUAAAGCUGUACUACUGCUCUACGUAUGCGUCUUAUGGACGAAAUAAAUGGUUUAAAAUAC